rnacentral:lncRNA from 1 species
ACAAGACCAGGUGAUAUCCUGACCUCUUCCCCCGUAGCCCAGCUGACAGCCUAUCAACUGCGGAUAAUAUUAAAGAAAUAAUUUAUUUUAGGGCUUAGGUGUUGCCCAACCGAAAGUCAUUAACCAGCAACCCCAGAGGACAGCUGGUAAAGAAGUCUAUAUAUAACUGUUGCUUUAGCAUCUGAUGGUAUUUUUGAAGUUACUGAAGCAAGGCAGGUAGUCCAAAGGUAAAUCUGGGCACAAAACAAGAAAGAAUGAGGGCAACCUAGAACCUAUGUCUAUCUUUUAUUGCAGCUGAUCUCCUUGCCAUGGAGCAGUAUACAUGUGUCUUGCCCAGGUCUCAGGGAAGUUGCUGCUUCAUACCAAAAGGGUGAGCCAGCAGAUCAAUGAAAGUGAGAACUGCAGUGGGCCAUAUUGCCUGGGGCCCUGCACUAACUUUCCAAGCAGAGUGGAUCCUGCUUCACUUCUAUCUUCCAAAUGCCACGUGCAUAUCUUGGUUGUCUACUCUAAUCCAGAAUUAUACAGAGAAGAGGAUCCCAAGAGAAAUAAUUGCAGUGAGGCUAAGUAAACGCAAUACACCUACCAUGCCAACCUAAGUCCUCCAGCUUCCAGCCAAGUGGCCAGACCCAUGAACCUAUUCAACAGAGCUGGGCCAAGAUCACCAGAUCAGGACAGUUCAGGCUACCGUAGAAUCACAAGGUAAAUAAACAGUUUUAAGCUACUAAGUUUGUUGUUCAUACAAAGAUAAUGAAAGUGGACAUCUAAAAAUGGUGACAUGGAUGUGUAACACAGUAGAUGGGAACAGAGGUAUCAGCUAGGCUUCUCUAUGUAUUCUUUAUUUGAUAACAUUUGUUUGUUUGUUUGGGGAGUUACCUGGGAUUGAACUGAGGGGCACUUGAUCACUGAGC